rnacentral:rRNA from 1 species
UACAGAGGGUGCGAGCGUUGUCCGGAAUCACUGGGCGUAAAGGGUGCGUAGGCGGCUUUUUAAGUUUGGUGUGAAAUCUCCCGGCUCAACUGGGAGGGUGCGCCGAAUACUGAGAGGCUAGAGUGUGGGAGAGGAAAGUGGAAUUCCUGGUGUAGCGGUGAAAUGCGUAGAUAUCAGGAGGAACACCGGUGGUGUAAACGGCUUUCUGGACCAUAACUGACGCUGAGGCACGAAAGCGUGGGUAGCAAACAGG